rnacentral:lncRNA from 1 species
CUGCUGACCAAAGAUGGCAUACUACGUUCCUAUGGAGAAGUUUACGACGAACCAGGCGAACGAGCCUUUCCCCACCGCGGAGAGGCUCAAGAAGCUACAAGACAAGACCAAGACGUUUAACGUGCAAACACAGAAGGCAUCUGACGUACAGCUCCGGUUUGUGGUUUCAACAAUCCAUAUUUUUGCAACUACAUCUCGCUCAUCCCACCCGCAUCUGGGUUUAUCGGGCCCAUGGAAAGCUCCAGGGCUCUGGACUAUUGGAAGGUCACGAUCGAGAUGACAUACACGGUAGAGCACGGAGCAACGCAUAUUCUGAUAAACUGCGCGCAGUCGAACAUGCUCUCAGCUCGCAAGUUCCUUGCUUGGCUGAAGAGAACCCUUCCGACGUUUUGAGCUGAGUGGUUAUCUGAAUAUCGGUUAUCUGUUCUUUUUUUUUCCCGCGCCUCUGUAUCAUGACAACCCCCCGUUUAAGAAAGUUGUUUACAACUUUUAUGACGCGACGAAGAGGAGGAAAAAAUGUCACAAAGUUCUAGAUGAUUCAAUAAAUGUCCAUUUGUACGUCCACAGCACUUCAGAAUUUUACAUAACAUAGUGCAAUACAUUCCCAUUACACCCGGCUCAGGUAAUCUGCUCCGACAUUGUCCGACCCUUUGAUGUAAGAGACUGAAAAUGAGUACUCUUGUAAGAGUAGGCUCCAUCGCAAAACUCUAUUGUUCAGGUGUUUAGCGG